GACGAACGCUGGCGGCGUGCUUAACACAUGCAAGUCGAACGGUGAAGCGCCUUCCUUUUUGGUGGGUGUGGAUGAGUGGCGAACGGGUGAGUAACACGUGAGUAACCUGCCCCCUUCUUCUGGAUAACCGCAUGAAAGUGUGGCUAAUACGGGAUAUUCUGUGCCUGCUGCAUGGUGGGUGUGGGAAAGAUUGCGCUUUUGGGUGUUUUUGGUGGGGGAUGGGCUCGCGGCCUAUCAGCUUGUUGGUGGGGUGAUGGCCUACCAAGGCGGUGACGGGUAGCCGGCCUGAGAGGGUGGACGGUCACACUGGGACUGAGACACGGCCCAGACUCCUACGGGAGGCAGCAGUGGGGAAUAUUGCACAAUGGGCGCAAGCCUGGUGCAGCGACGCCGCGUGAGGGAUGGAGGCCUUCGGGUUGUGAACCUCUUUCGCCAGUGAAGCAGGCCUGCCCCUUUUGUGGGUGGGUUGACGGUAGCUGGAUAAGAAGCGCCGGCUAACUACGUGCCAGCAGCCGCGGUAAUACGUAGGGCGCGAGCGUUGUCCGGAAUUAUUGGGCGUAAAGAGCUCGUAGGCGGCUGGUCGCGUCUGUCGUGAAAUCCUCUGGCUUAACUGGGGGCUUGCGGUGGGUACGGGCCGGCUUGAGUGCGGUAGGGGAGGCUGGAACUCCUGGUGUAGCGGUGGAAUGCGCAGAUAUCAGGAAGAACACCGGUGGCGAAGGCGGGUCUCUGGGCCGUUACUGACGCUGAGGAGCGAAAGCGUGGGGAGCGAACAGGAUUAGAUACCCUGGUAGUCCACGCCGUAAACGUUGGGCACUAGGUGUGGGGGGCCUUUUCCGGGUUUUCCGCGCCGUAGCUAACGCAUUAAGUGCCCCGCCUGGGGAGUACGGCCGCAAGGCUAAAACUCAAAGGAAUUGACGGGGGCCCGCACAAGCGGCGGAGCAUGCGGAUUCAUUCGAUGCAACGCGAAGAACCUUACCAAGGCUUGACAUGUGCCGGUCGGCUCCGGAGACGGGGUUUCCUCCUUGUGGGGCCGGUUCACAGGUGGUGCAUGGUUGUCGUCAGCUCGUGUCGUGAGAUGUUGGGUUAAGUCCCGCAACGAGCGCAACCCUUGUCUCGUGUUGCCAGCACGUUGUGGUGGGGACUCGCGGGAGACUGCCGGGGUCAACUCGGAGGAAGGUGGGGAUGACGUCAAAUCAUCAUGCCCCUUAUGUCUUGGGCUUCACGCAUGCUACAAUGGCCGGUACAGAGGGCUGCGAUACCGUGAGGUGGAGCGAAUCCCUUAAAGCCGGUCUCAGUUCGGAUCGGUGUCUGCAACUCGACACCGUGAAGUUGGAGUCGCUAGUAAUCGCAGAUCAGCAACGCUGCGGUGAAUACGUUCUCGGGCCUUGUACACACCGCCCGUCACGUCAUGAAAGUCGGCAACACCCGAAGCCCGUGGCCUUAUGGGGAGCGGUCGAAGGUGGGGCUGGUGAUUGGGACG
rnacentral:rRNA from 1 species